GAGAUUUCUCUCCCUCACCAGUUGUGCCCCAGUGCAGACAUGAAAACUGCAGUUUCAGGAGGAGAGCCUGUGUGUGGACAGCUUCUUCUCUUCCUUCUCCCUCAGUGCUUUGACAUCUUUUUAUUUCAUUUACCGAGGUUCUGAGUCUCAUCAGCAUGGGAUUAUGAGAAGAAGCACAGGGAAGUUGUUGUGUGGCUGGUAGUCACGUAGCAGUGUGGCAUAGGUGGCGUGCUAUUUAGAACUGACUUUCUCCAAAGCAUUUGUUUGGUUCUUUAAAGAUCCGCCAGCCUACUCUUACCCACUCUUCUUUUGCCAAGAAGAAGGUAUCUCUGUUUUCAUUGGACAAGGACUUGUUCUUCAGUCGCCAGAUACCUAGAUUCUCUGCUGGGACCUGUUCAACCCUCCAGGUAGCCCUGUUUGGAAGCAGUCCAAUAAGAUGCCGUGCCGGAUCUCUUUUCCUCUUCUUGUGUGUGUGUGGUGGUGCAGAGGAGCAGUAUCGCUCUUCUAAAUCAUGCACACACAAGACCGCCAAGCAUUAAGAUUCUCCUGUGGAGCCAGGCUACAAUCCUUUAAAUGAAGACAGACAGCUAGGUGGCUGCAGCCCAGCGCUACACCUCACCCCUCCCUCAGUGUCAUGCAGAAAAAAUGUAUUCAGAACUCAGAAGUGAAGUUGUGCAAAUCCAUCAUUGACACUAGCUUCAAGGUUACCUCGGGGGAGCAGAAUGUACCCCUGCCAGAGAGCUGGAUAGAUGAUGAUGGGGACAGAAAUUCUGGGGGAGUUGUAAAUGGCAGCCACUGCCUCUAUAGGAAACCCAAAGGGAACACAGCAGAAGAGGAGGUGGUGGAGGAGCCACUGCCCUCUCGAAGGGUUCAAUGUCAUUCUGCAGACACAACCAAAUAACUUUUUCUUCCCUGCUGCUCCUCCAUUUGAAAUGACAGCCCCGAGCUCGCUUUUUCCUUGAUUGUGUAACUCUGAUUACAGACAAGGCCAAGGCAAUCCCAGGGCAUUACUACAAAGCUAAGGGGUCCCCAAAGAACUAAAGAGUCAGCUCCACAAAAAUCCCGAUUCCUAGCAUGAAACUGAAAUAUGAAACCAAACGGGCAUAGAAAAGGUAUGUGCAUUCGAAUCACAUAGCAGUGACUGGAGUCCUGAGCUGUGUCUGAAGACUGUGAGAUCACGUUUGGAGCUGCUGAUUGGUUUUCAGUGAUGGCCCUGUUGCACAGUGCCGUGAGACUUAGCUCCAUGGCCAAAGACGAUGGUAUCCCCUAGGAGCCCUGUGAGGUUGCUGCUGUUCUCUUAAGACACCAGGUAGCCAUCUGAUCCUCCCUGAGCAAACUAACUGGGCAGACAGGUUUAUUAAACCUCUGUUGGUCCGACUUACAUGAAACAAGAGAGUUAUUUUGUUGUUGUUGUUUUGUUUUGUUUUAAAUUAAACCUGUCUUUGGAGCCUCCUGCUCUUAGUUUA
rnacentral:lncRNA from 1 species